UCCUGAGCUGUCGGAAUUCAGCUUUUUUUUUGUAUGUUGUUUUUGUUUAUAGGGCUGCUGGCGGGUUUGGAGGGGCGUCAUGCGAAAUGUUGUCAUGGCAAUCCAGUUGAUUGGCAGUGACGCCUGAUUUGAAAGGAAGAAUAGGAGACAGGUGGAAGGAGGCGGACUGUACAUCUAAAGGAACAGAUUGGAACAAAGAGGAGCAGCUGAGAUGAGGAGUUGGAUCCAGGUGAAGAAGACUGCGGCGGCUGAAGCUGGCGGAGCCGCAGGGCGCCGCCGGCGCUGCGUACGUUGGCCCGUGACUGUGUUGGAUAAAAGCGUCGCAUUCA